rnacentral:rRNA from 1 species
GACGAACGCUGGCGGCGUGCCUAAUACAUGCAAGUCGAGCGGACUUUCAAGAAGCUUGCUUUUUGAAAGUUAGCGGCGGACGGGUGAGUAACACGUGGGCAACCUGCCUGCAAGACGGGGAUAACUCCGGGAAACCGGGGCUAAUACCGGAUAAUAUCUUCCUUCGCAUGAAGGAAGGUUGAAAGGCGGCGCAAGCUGCCGCUUGCAGAUGGUCCCGCGGCGCAUUAGCUAGUUGGUGAGGUAACGGCUCACCAAGGCGACGAUGCGUAGCCGACCGGAGAGGGUGAUCGGCCACACUGGGACUGAGACACGGCCCAGACUCCUACGGGAGGCAGCAGUAGGGAAUCGUCCGCAAUGGACGAAAGUCUGACGGAGCAACGCCGCGUGAGCGAAGAAGGUCUUCGGAUCGUAAAGCUCUGUUGUCAGGGAAGAACAAGUACCGUUCGAACAGGGCGGUACCUUGACGGUACCUGACCAGAAAGCCACGGCUAACUACGUG